rnacentral:rRNA from 1 species
UACGUAGGGGGCAAGCGUUGUCCGGAAUCAUUGGGCGUAAAGCGCGCGUAGGCGGCCCGGUAAGUCCGCUGUAAAAGUCAAAGGCUCAACCUUUGAAUGCCGGUGGAUACUGUCGGGCUAGAGUCCGGAAGAGGCGAGUGGAAUUCCUGGUGUAGCAGUGAAAUGCGUAGAGAUCAUGAGGAAGACCAGUGGCGAAGGCGGGUCUCUGGACAGUUCCUGACACUGAGGCACGAAGGCCAGGGGAGCAAACGGG